GGUUAAGUUAGAAAGGGCGCACGGUGGAUGCCUUGACACUAGGAGUCGAUGAAGGACGGGACUAACGCCGAUAUGCUUCGGGGAGCUGUAAGUAAGCUUUGAUCCGAAGAUUUCCGAAUGGGGAAACCCACCAUACGUAAUGGUAUGGUAUCCUUAUCUGAAUACAUAGGGUAAGGAAGACAGACCCAGGGAACUGAAACAUCUAAGUACCUGGAGGAAGAGAAAGCAAAUGCGAUUUCCUGAGUAGCGGCGAGCGAAACGGAACAUAGCCCAAACCAAGAGGCUUGCCUCUUGGGGUUGUAGGACAUUCUAUACGGAGUUACAAAGGAACGAGGUAGACGAAGCGACCUGGAAAGGUCCGUCGUAGAGGGUAACAACCCCGUAGUCGAAACUUCGUUCUCUCUUGAAUGUAUCCUGAGUACGGCGGAACACGUGAAAUUCCGUCGGAAUCUGGGAGGACCAUCUCCCAAGGCUAAAUACUCCCUAGUGAUCGAUAGUGAACCAGUACCGUGAGGGAAAGGUGAAAAGCACCCCGGAAGGGGAGUGAAAGAGAUCCUGAAACCGUGUGCCUACAAAUAGUCAGAGCCCGUUAACGGGUGAUGGCGUGCCUUUUGUAGAAUGAACCGGCGAGUUACGAUCCCGUGCGAGGUUAAGCUGAAGAGGCGGAGCCGCAGCGAAAGCGAGUCUGAAUAGGGCGUUUAGUACGUGGUCGUAGACCCGAAACCAGGUGAUCUACCCAUGUCCAGGGUGAAGUUCAGGUAACACUGAAUGGAGGCCCGAACCCACGCACGUUGAAAAGUGCGGGGAUGAGGUGUGGGUAGCGGAGAAAUUCCAAUCGAACCUGGAGAUAGCUGGUUCUCCCCGAAAUAGCUUUAGGGCUAGCCUUAAGUGUAAGAGUCUUGGAGGUAGAGCACUGAUUGGACUAGGGGUCCUCAUCGGAUUACCGAAUUCAGUCAAACUCCGAAUGCCAAUGACUUAUCCUUAGGAGUCAGACUGCGAGUGAUAAGAUCCGUAGUCAAAAGGGAAACAGCCCAGACCGCCAGCUAAGGUCCCAAAGUGUGUAUUAAGUGGAAAAGGAUGUGGAGUUGCUUAGACAACUAGGAUGUUGGCUUAGAAGCAGCCACCAUUUAAAGAGUGCGUAAUAGCUCACUAGUCGAGUGACUCUGCGCCGAAAAUGUACCGGGGCUAAAUACACCACCGAAGCUGCGGAUUGAUACCGAAUGGUAUCAGUGGUAGGGGAGCGUUCUAAGGACAGUGAAGUCAGACCGGAAGGACUGGUGGAGUGCUUAGAAGUGAGAAUGCCGGUAUGAGUAGCGAAAGACGGGUGAGAAUCCCGUCCACCGAAUGCCUAAGGUUUCCUGAGGAAGGCUCGUCCGCUCAGGGUUAGUCAGGACCUAAGCCGAGGCCGACAGGCGUAGGCGAUGGACAACAGGUUGAUAUUCCUGUACCACCUCUUUAUCGUUUGAGCAAUGGAGGGACGCAGAAGGAUAGAAGAAGCGUGCGAUUGGUUGUGCACGUCCAAGCAGUUAGGCUGAUAAGUAGGCAAAUCCGCUUAUCGUAAAGGCUGAGCUGUGAUGGGGAAGCUCCUUAUGGAGCGAAGUCUUUGAUUCCCCGCUGCCAAGAAAAGCUUCUAGCGAGAUAAAAGGUGCCUGUACCGCAAACCGACACAGGUAGGCGAGGAGAGAAUCCUAAGGUGUGCGAGAGAACUCUGGUUAAGGAACUCGGCAAAAUGACCCCGUAACUUCGGGAGAAGGGGUGCUUUCUUAACGGAAAGCCGCAGUGAAUAGGCCCAAGCGACUGUUUAGCAAAAACACAGCUCUCUGCGAAGCCGUAAGGCGAAGUAUAGGGGGUGACACCUGCCCGGUGCUGGAAGGUUAAGGAGAGGGGUUAGCGUAAGCGAAGCUCUGAACUGAAGCCCCAGUAAACGGCGGCCGUAACUAUAACGGUCCUAAGGUAGCGAAAUUCCUUGUCGGGUAAGUUCCGACCCGCACGAAAGGUGUAACGAUUUGGGCACUGUCUCAACCAGAGACUCGGUGAAAUUAUAGUACCUGUGAAGAUGCAGGUUACCCGCGACAGGACGGAAAGACCCCGUGGAGCUUUACUGUAGCCUGAUAUUGAAUUUUGGUACAGUUUGUACAGGAUAGGCGGGAGCCAUUGAAACCGGAGCGCUAGCUUCGGUGGAGGCGCUGGUGGGAUACCGCCCUGACUGUAUUGAAAUUCUAACCUACGGGUCUUAUCGACCCGGGAGACAGUGUCAGGUGGGCAGUUUGACUGGGGCGGUCGCCUCCUAAAGUGUAACGGAGGCGCCCAAAGGUUCCCUCAGAAUGGUUGGAAAUCAUUCGUAGAGUGCAAAGGCAUAAGGGAGCUUGACUGCGAGACCUACAAGUCGAGCAGGGACGAAAGUCGGGCUUAGUGAUCCGGUGGUUCCGCAUGGAAGGGCCAUCGCUCAACGGAUAAAAGCUACCCCGGGGAUAACAGGCUUAUCUCCCCCAAGAGUCCACAUCGACGGGGAGGUUUGGCACCUCGAUGUCGGCUCAUCGCAUCCUGGGGCUGUAGUCGGUCCCAAGGGUUGGGCUGUUCGCCCAUUAAAGCGGUACGCGAGCUGGGUUCAGAACGUCGUGAGACAGUUCGGUCCCUAUCCGUCGUGGGCGUAGGAAAUUUGAGAGGAGCUGUCCUUAGUACGAGAGGACCGGGAUGGACGCACCGCUGGUGUACCAGUUGUUCUGCCAAGGGCAUAGCUGGGUAGCUAUGUGCGGAAGGGAUAAGUGCUGAAAGCAUCUAAGCAUGAAGCCCCCCUCAAGAUGAGAUUUCCCAUAGCGUAAGCUAGUAAGAUCCCUGAAAGAUGAUCAGGUUGAUAGGUUCGAGGUGGAAGCAUGGUGACAUGUGGAGCUGACGAAUACUAAUAGAUCGAGGACUUAACCAU
rnacentral:rRNA from 1 species